AAAUCUUACUUAAAUAAUUAUUGUGGAUUUAAAAUAACGUAUGAAGUGCUCUAAAUGGAAACUGAGAAUUUAAUACGACCCACAAUGAAAAAAAAAAUAAAGUUGACCUAAUUUUGAUUAGAGGCUAUAGCUACUUUGCUAAAAAGAAAUUAUUCUUGAUGAAGCAAUGGUUGUCUUAUGGAAUGUCAAAACCUUAAUAUUAAGAGAGAAAAAAAAUGAAAUUCGAGGCACGUAAUCCGC
rnacentral:lncRNA from 1 species